rnacentral:rRNA from 1 species
AGAGUUUGAUCCUGGCUCAGAUUGAACGCUGGCGGCAGGCCUAACACAUGCAAGUCGAGCGGUAGCACAGGGAGCUUGCUCCUGGGUGACGAGCGGCGGACGGGUGAGUAAUGUCUGGGAAACUGCCUGAUGGAGGGGGAUAACUACUGGAAACGGUAGCUAAUACCGCAUAACGUCGCAAGACCAAAGAGGGGGACCUUCGGGCCUCUUGCCAUCAGAUGUGCCCAGAUGGGAUUAGCUAGUAGGUGGGGUAAUGGCUCACCUAGGCGACGAUCCCUAGCUGGUCUGAGAGGAUGACCAGCCACACUGGAACUGAGACACGGUCCAGACUCCUACGGGAGGCAGCAGUGGGGAAUAUUGCACAAUGGGCGCAAGCCUGAUGCAGCCAUGCCGCGUGUAUGAAGAAGGCCUUCGGGUUGUAAAGUACUUUCAGCGAGGAGGAAGGCAUUGUGGUUAAUAACCACAGUGAUUGACGUUACUCGCAGAAGAAGCACCGGCUAACUCCGUGCCAGCAGCCGCGGUAAUACGGAGGGUGCAAGCGUUAAUCGGAAUUACUGGGCGUAAAGCGCACGCAGGCGGUCUGUCAAGUCGGAUGUGAAAUCCCCGGGCUCGACCUGCGAACUGCAUUCGAAACUGGCAGGCUAGAGUCUUGUA